UACAGAGGAUGCUAACGUUGUCCGGAUUCACUGGGCGUAAAGGGCUUGUAGGUUGCCAAAUAAGUCAGGUGUGAAAUCGUAUAGCUCAACUAUACAAUUGCAUUUGAUACUGCUUGGCUUGAGUGCAGGAGGGGUAAUUGGAAUUUCCGGUGUAGCGGUGAAAUGCGUAGAUAUCGGAAAGAACACCUGUGGCGAAGGCGGAUUACUGGCCUGCAACUGACACUGAGGAGCGAAAGCCAGGGGAGCAAACGGG
rnacentral:rRNA from 1 species